GCGCUCGUAGCUCAGGGGAUAGAGCAGCCGCCUUCUAAGCGGCUGGUCGCUGGUUCGAAUCCAGCCGGGCGCGCCA
rnacentral:tRNA from 1 species